rnacentral:rRNA from 1 species
UACGUAGGUGGCAAGCGUUGUCCGGAAUUACUGGGUGUAAAGGGAGCGUAGGCGGGAUCGCAAGUCAGAUGUGAAAACUAUGGGCUUAACCCAUAGACUGCAUUUGAAACUGUAGAGCUUGAGUGAAGUAGAGGCAGGCGGAAUUCCCCGUGUAGCGGUGAAAUGCGUAGAGAUGGGGAGGAACACCAGUGGCGAAGGCGAUUUACUGGACCGUAACUGACGCUGAGGCUCGAAAGCGUGGGGAGCAA